CAGAGGUCCCAAGCGUUGUUCGGAUUCACUGGGCGUAAAGGGUGCGUAGGUGGUAAGGCAAGUCAGGUGUGAAAUCUCCGGGCUCAACCCGGAAAUGGCAUUCGAAACUACCUUGCUGGAGGAUUUGAGGGGGGACUGGAAUACUUGGUGUAGCAGUGAAAUGCGUAGAUAUCAAGUGGAACACCAGUGGCGAAGGCGAGUCCCUGGAAAAUUCCUGACACUGAGGCACGAAAGCUAGGGGAGCAAACAGGAUUAGAUACCCUGGUAGUCCUAGCCCUAAACGGUGCUUGCUUGCUGUAAGAGGAAUCGACCCCUCUUGUGGCGGAGCUAACGCGUUAAGCAAGCCGCCUGGGAAGUACGGUCGCAAGAUUA
rnacentral:rRNA from 1 species